rnacentral:tRNA from 1 species
GCCUCCUUGGCGCUGUAGGUAGCGCGUCAGUCUCAUAAUCUGAAGGUCGUGAGUUCGAUCCUCACAGGGGGCC